CGGAAAAUAUAACGGGGCUAAAGUAAGUACCGAAGCUGUAGACUUGCACACAACUUAGAUUAUUUAAGUUUAGAAUAUGAGAAACUAAGUUAUAUGUUUAGUUAUAUUUUUACUGAUUUUUAUAGAGUAAAGAUAGAAAUAAAACUUAGUAAAAUCAGUAAAAAUAUUCUUAGGCUAAAGUUAAGUAGUUUAAGUUGUGUGCAAGUGGUAGGAGAGCGUUCUAUUUGCGUCGAAGGUAUACCGGUAAGGAGUGCUGGA
rnacentral:rRNA from 1 species